UCUUGAGAGCGGCGGACGGGUGAGUAAUGCCUAGGAAUCUGCCUGGCAGUGGGGGAUAACGUUCGGAAACGGACGCUAAUACCGCAUACGUCCUACGGGAGAAAGCAGGGGACCUUCGGGCCUUGCGCUAUCAGAUGAGCCUAGGUCGGAUUAGCUAGUUGGUGAGGUAAUGGCUCACCAAGGCGACGAUCCGUAACUGGUCUGAGAGGAUGAUCAGUCACACUGGAACUGAGACACGGUCCAGACUCCUACGGGAGGCAGCAGUGGGGAAUAUUGGACAAUGGGCGAAAGCCUGAUCCAGCCAUGCCGCGUGUGUGAAGAAGGUCUUCGGAUUGUAAAGCACUUUAAGUUGGGAGGAAGGGCAGUUACUUAAUACGUGAUUGUUUUGACGUUACCGACAGAAUAAGCACCGGCUAACUCUGUGCCAGCAGCCGCGGUAAUACAGAGGGUGCAAGCGUUAAUCGGAAUUACUGGGCGUAAAGCGCGCGUAGGUGGUUUGUUAAGUUGGAUGUGAAAUCCCCGGGCUCAACCUGGGAACUGCAUUCAAAACUGACUGACUAGAGUGUG
rnacentral:rRNA from 1 species